UUCUCUUCUUCAAUCAGCAGACUUGGUUCACCUGAAGCUCCGUGUUCCGAGUCCUGAUUCUCUGCUGUUCCCACAUAAACCAUGUUUAUAACCGGCAGUUUUAUUUUUCAGUUUAACAGUGUGGUUAGGAACUUGUAUCUAGAGUAAACGAAGAACUGCUAGAGUUCAGUAGUGAUAGUUCCUGGGCCUCCUGAGGCCGCAGCUGCCCAAACCCGAGGUGUGGCGGGGAGUGACGGGGGAGAAAGCUCCCUUCCCCGAGGGACUGGCGCUCAGGAGCCUGGGCGAGCAGGAAAACGGGCCACCAGCCUGCAGGCCUCGUAUGGGCGAAAUGGGAUGCCUGCCCCUCCAGCGGAGACCGAAGACCAGCAAGUCUCAGGUGUGGACAAGGACACCUGUGAAGGGGCGUGGUGGAGGUGUCGCGUUGCUUCCCAGCCUGGCAAUUUUCUCUGGCUGAGGUCAGCUGCCCCGGAGAGGAGCAGAGAAGGCAAGUGUGAAGCAGUCCUAUUCCAUGUGUUAUGACCCAGAACCUACCACAAGUGGCGCCAGAACAGGGACCUGGAAUGCCUCUCUCCCAGAGCAACGAGAACAGUUGGUGGGGCUGUUUGUCCUCUGAGAUGAUGUCACCACAGCAGCAGGCAGUGCCAGAAGAUGGUGAGUGAGGUAGGGUCAAUCAGGUUCUGAGGAAAAGAAUGAUGAGCCAGUUGUUCAUCAUCAGCUGGUUUGCCUCCUAAGUAAUGAGGCAAGAGGCCGACUUUCUCAGGCAUCUGGGAGCCUCCAGAAUACAACACCAAUGAGUACUUCUUGAAAAGAUUGAAUCAGGAGUCAGUUUCUUCUUGAAAAUUGAACCAAACCAAAGAUUCUAGGAACCAAGAAACUCCUAUAAAAAGCUGGCUAUGCACUUACUGUUCCUGCUUUCUACAAAGUUCUUAAAAUCACUAGACCACACUGUGUAAAAUAUCAUGCCCCACUCUGACACUCUCCUCUCCGCCUCCUUCACCCACUUUCUUUUUAUUCGUAACAUUUAUCACAACCCACAUAUUUCCUCUAUGUGUGCAUGCAGAUAGAUUCACGAUGUUGUUUAUUAUAUGGCUCUUGCUCUGAGCUCCAUGAGAGCAGGAACUCAGUCUUAUUUACCACUAU